UGUUGGGCAGGUUCAUGCUUUAUAUGCACAACACUAGCAAGCUUACAACAUGCGUAUAUGGUUAUACAACCACCACCUUCAGUGAUGAGUUAGAGAAACAUAACGAUUAUUUUAUAGACGUGGUUAUUUAUCACCUUUCAGCAUAUAAGGAAUGGUGUUGGGGCUGGUAUAUGCUAAGACGCGGAACCUUCUCACUCUAAUAACCAUGCAUGAAUGUUGAAACUUGGGUGUUGUCCUCAAGCUUACGUUUCUUCAAGUAAGUGAUUUGAUUUACCAAUAAUACCAGACAAUUCAUUGGGCUUUUUCUUUUAUUUUUUGGUCUACUUAUUCCUACUUCUAACGGGACUUUUGCUGUAAGUCUCUCAGAGGUCUUUUUUUCAAUGGCUUUUUAAAGAUACUCUUGGAUUUUUACUCACACUACUUACUCACAAGCAUGGCGUCCGUGUGUGGUGGGCAGUUUAUCAAAAUGGCAUCUAAGGAAAUGAAAAAUAGCCUGU